rnacentral:tRNA from 1 species
CGUGAGGAAGCUAAAACGGAUUUGUAGCGUUAGCCUUUUGAGCUAAUGAUUGGUGACUUCCGCCCACCUCUCACGA